GCCUGUUUCCAGGGGGUGGCUCUGGUGCCCAUGAAGGUGCAGUAAGUGGACCCAAGGCUUCCUGAGAUGUCCCAUCCAGUCUCAAGGUACUCUCAAGUUGGGAGAAGUGUGAAGGUUAAUACAGAGAAACCCCACAAAAAAAGGAUCGUGAAGCCAGAAGGGGGAUCUUGCUCGCUACACCUCUUGGUCAAGAAUCACCAAUCGCUCACCCCACAGAGGAAUCAUCAACAGUACAGGAUCCUCAAAUACAGGCCCCAACAGAGAAUGCUGGGAGGAGGCAAGAGCAGGUGGAAGAAGCCUUCGCUCACACUGGGGAAUUCCUUUCAACAUUCCCAUCCUGAAAUGAGUCUGCUUUUUGGAGUCCUGUGUAAACAGUGGUGGCAUCAUCCUACUUCCCUCAUUCACAAUGAGGAAAGGAGUGUGGGAUGGAAGUUGUGCAGACUGUGUCUCAGCUGGCUCCCCCCACCAGCAGGAAAUCCCAAGCCGCA